UACGUAGGGUGCGAGCGUUAAUCGGAAUUACUGGGCGUAAAGCGUGCGCAGGCGGUUUUGUAAGCCAGAUGUGAAAUCCCCGGGCUUAACCUGGGAAUGGCAUUUGGGACUGCAAGGCUGGAGUGUGGCAGAGGAGACUGGAAUUCCCGGUGUAGCAGUGAAAUGCGCAGAUAUCAGGAGGAACACCGGUGGCGAAGGCGGGUCUCUGGGCCGAUACUGACGCUGAGGAGCGAAAGCGUGGGGAGCGAACAGG
rnacentral:rRNA from 1 species